UGUUGGUGUUGUUUCAUUUGACCCAAUAACCUGAAAACAUAAACAAGAAAAUGGUAAUUAAUGUAUUAAUAAUAUUUAAACAAGAUUUCUAAGCUAGAAUGUGUAAAUAAAAUGUUUUUAAAACCGGACAGGACUAGUUGGACUAGGAAUGGGACCCGUAGCCAGUCCGUUUCCCAUGGGUUGAACUAGCACUGGUUGGACCGACCAGUGUAAAUAGGACCCACAAUCUCCCAUGGGUUGAACCAGCACUGGUUGGACCGACCAGGGUAAAUAGGACCCACAAUCUCCCAUGGGUUGAACCAGCACUGGUUGGGCUGACUGGUGUAAAUAGGACCCACAAUAUAUAUGUGUAUCAUUGCUUACAAUAUAAAUGUAUCUUUGAUUUUCCCGACACAAAGAUGAUAGGGAUGCCCUACAAUAUGCUUAUGUUUGUCUGGUUUGAAAUGUACUAAUGUAUUUGUCUUGUACACGUGGAAAACAAUGGCUAGCUUUACAUCGAGUCAAAAGACCCAAACUCGUUGGUCAUGAGCCAUAAUAAAGUUUUUUCGUUACCGACUACAAUUAGAGCUCAAACUUACGUUUUUCUUAAAACAUAAAACUCUGUGACCGGGGUCAGCAAACCCACUUGACACGUCAUAAAAUGUUUUUAUGGGUAACUUUGUAUAGCAAAAAACUGGUGAUGUGACACGUCACCAUGGUAUGAAGAAUUCAAAAAUAUAAUUCAAUAUAUGUUAAUAAUAAUUAACAAACACACAUAUAAUAAACAAUAAUAUAAAUCAUUCUUUGAUCCAGUCAUGAAACACCAAAGAAUAAAGAACCUUAAUUUGUCUUACUCUUAGAUCUAGAAACAAUAAUCUUGUAGAAUACAAAACCAAGAAUAAAUAAAUAAAUAAUUGUCACUUAUAUUUUGUUUUAAUUGUAAUUGUAAUGUAAUACAUAAAAAGUUAAAUCAUCAUAACACUUUCAUACAAAUAUGUUACUACAAUAUAAUUAUAUAAAUUAAUACAAAUCCUCAUUUGUAAAACAAAAAGAGUUAAAUGCCAUUUUAGUCCCUGUGGUUUGAGCCAUUUUGCCAGUUUAGUCAAGAUGUUUCAUUUUUCGUAUGUGAGUCCAAAAAGAUUUCACCGUUGCCAUUUUAGUCCAUUGAGUUAACUUCAUCAACUAUUUCUGUUAACGAGAAGGGCAAUUUGGUAAUUUUAUAAGACCGAAUUACCCUUCUAGUUAACAAAAUUAUAUAUAAAAUGACCGAAUUGUCAUUCUCGUUAACAGAAAAAAUAAAAUAAAAAUAGACAACAAGAUACUGUUGCACAUGAGCCCCAAGAUCCCGCGACACACAGGAUUAAAACCCACCUUAUUAUUCACACACACCCCAUAAAGUUCACAACAACUCGCCCCCUAUAACUUGCCACGAAAACACGCCACUAUAUCCACUUACGAAAUGACAUAAAUACCCAUAAUUGUAUCCUACAUUCACAUUUUUGGACCUUUUUGUGUGAGUGGCAUACUGGUAUGGCAUUCGUCUUUUUCAACCAAAUCUAGAUUGGUAUUGACUUUGACAGAUGGUGUCCACGAGUCAUGUGUUUAUGAACUAUGUGAAUUGACCAAAAUACCCUUUAACACGAAAGGGUGUUUUCGUAAAUUCGUACAAAAAGAAACGUGA
rnacentral:lncRNA from 1 species